rnacentral:rRNA from 1 species
ACGGGAGGCAGCAGUAGGGAAUCUUCGGCAAUGGGGGCAACCCUGACCGAGCAACGCCGCGUGAGUGAAGAAGGUUUUCGGAUCGUAAAGCUCUGUUGUAAGAGAAGAACGUGUGUGAGAGUGGAAAGUUCACACAGUGACGGUAACUUACCAGAAAGGGACGGCUAACUACGUGCCAGCAGCCGCGGUAAUACGUAGGUCCCGAGCGUUGUCCGGAUUUAUUGGGCGUAAAGCGAGCGCAGGCGGUUUAAUAAGUCUGAAGUUAAAGGCAGUGGCUUAACCAUUGUUCGCUUUGGAAACUGUUAGACUUGAGUGCAGAAGGGGAGAGUGGAAUUCCAUGUGUAGCGGUGAAAUGCGUAGAUAUAUGGAGGAACACCGGUGGCGAAAGCGGCUCUCUGGUCUGUAACUGACGCUGAGGCUCGAAAGCGUGGGGAGCAAACAGGAUUAGAUACCCUGGUA